AUGGAGGCAGAGUUGGUCAGUGCAAAGUUGUGCGAAGCGAAGCCAGGCUACGCAGACAAGCAGGCCGAGGGCGAAGGCGGUCGGGUGCCACAGAUGGAGGCGCUGGGACAGGGUGGUGAGGUGAAGAGGACGGGGUCGAGAGCAGCUACAGUGCGUGCAUCUGUCCCCUCCUUUGUUUUUUCACCAAGCCUACCUAAAAUCUAUCAAAUUAUUCAGGGAAAUUUGAUUGAAGAUAUGAUUGAUGGCGAUUCUAGAAAAGUGUUUGCUCCAUCAGAUUCACAUAAAAAGAAAUUGCACAACUGCAUCAUGGCUGUCCAGUAUAUGAAGGAAGCUCCGGUUCUGAUAUCUGAUGCAGAUGCAGUCAGAGUUUCAGCAGAAUAUAUUCUUAAUGGCGACAAGGAACUAAUUCUUGCAUUUCUAUGGAAUAUGUUCAUUCAUAUGCAGGUUAAUCUACACAUGUCGUUCAGUAUCUCAUUACUCAUGUUGAAGUUUUAUACUGUUUUAUUUCACCUUUCGUUUGUACUGAAGAGGUGGACUAAUGGACUGACUUUGUAUUUUUCACUCACUGCAUAG
rnacentral:rRNA from 1 species